rnacentral:rRNA from 1 species
CCUACGGGGGGCUGCAGUGGGGAAUAUUGGACAAUGGGGGCAACCCUGAUCCAGCCAUGCCGCGUGUGUGAAGAAGGCCCUCGGGUUGUAAAGCACUUUCAGUGAGGAAGAACGCCUGGUGGUUAAUACCCAUCAGGAAAGACAUCACUCACAGAAGAAGCACCGGCUAACUCCGUGCCAGCAGCCGCGGUAAUACGGAGGGUGCGAGCGUUAAUCGGAAUUACUGGGCGUAAAGCGCGCGUAGGUGGCUUGAUAAGCCGGUUGUGAAAGCCCCGGGCUCAACCUGGGAACGGCAUCCGGAACUGUCCAGCUAGAGUGCAGGAGAGGAAGGUAGAAUUCCCGGUGUAGCGGUGAAAUGCGUAGAGAUCGGGAGGAAUACCAGUGGCGAAGGCGGCCUUCUGGACUGACACUGACACUGAGGUGCGAAAGCGUGGGUAGCAAACAGGAUUAGAUACCCCAGUAGUC